rnacentral:misc_RNA from 1 species
AGGUUUCUUUAUGAUUGUACAAAAAUCAAGAUCUAAGAUAAAAAAAAGUUUCUGGGUUUAAUGUUUAACUGCGUAGAAAUUAAUCACCGAUCAUUCCAGACCGUUCUGCCCUGACUCCUCGUUCUUCUUACGAUUGACAAUAUGAUUAAAGUGAAACUGCCGAAGAAGGUCGGCCUGAUCUUCUCCGACACGGUCUUACUCCCGGGCAUGUCCAAGAAGAUAGUCAUCUCAUCAGAAGACAAUAUAAAAACGCUCAAAUAUUAUAUGGAAUCUGAAGAUGAUGACUAUAUCUUAGGCUUUAUCCCAUCAAAAAAUGAAGAAGUUAUAAAGGAGAAAGGCAUGAUUGGCUCGCUAGGAUAUGUCAAGAACGUGUACACAUCUCAAAACGGAGAGUCGAAGUUGCACGUUGUCGUCGUAGGUAUUUGCAGGUUCAAAGUUGCCAGUUUGGCAGGCGAAGUAAAAGUGCCUAUCAUCAUCGUUAAAGACUUGAUAGUAAAAGAGACGACUGAAUCCAUUGAAAACUGGCAGACCCUCGUAUCGAACAUCCCCAGAAUAUUGAAAAAGCAGCUGGCUUUCGAAGGCGCCGCCCACUUUGGGCUCGCUUCGCACACAAGAAUAAUGCUGAUCGAUGCCUGUGCUGAUAUCGUUGCGACCACUUUUGAAGACCGCGUUGAUAUUUUGAUAUCGCUUGAUCCUCUAGAAAGGCUCAAGAAAACUGUUGCUUUAAUUGAAAAGUACGAAGAUGAUACUGUAAAAAUGCAAUAUCCUGCGAUAAUGGGUUCAAACAUGCCUCUACCAGGUGGUGGAUCGUAUAUAAUCAAUGGAGGGCCUCGUAACUCAAAUGUAAAAGACAUCAAAGAUCUUCGUGAGAGAUUAAAAGCGGUUAAUUUACCAGAAGCGGCGAGCAAAGUUGCAGAGCAGGAACUUGCAAAAUUGGAAAGGAUGUCAACUAACAACCCAGAACACGUUGUAAUCCAUUCGUACCUUGAUCUUAUCCUCUCACUCCCAUGGUCCGUGUCCAGCACAAAGGAAAUAAACAUAAGUGAAGCCAGAAAGACUUUAGACAAGGAUCAUUACGCAUUAAUGCAAGUGAAGAAAAGAGUUCUUGAAUACUUAGCUGUAAAACGUUUGAAAAAGGACAACCUGAAUGCACCGAUACUUUGUUUCGUUGGGCCACCAGGAGUUGGAAAGACGAGUGUGGGCAGGUCGAUCGCAAACAUCAUGGGUCGCAAGUUUCAAAGGAUUUGCCUUGGCGGAGUGUCUAACCCUAGUGUAAUCAGGGGCCAUAGGAAAGCCUAUGUCGGAGCGAUGUGCGGACGCAUAAUACAAGCUUUGAAAAACGCCGGUGAAAACAACCCCGUAAUACUAUUCGAUGAGAUAGAUAAGCUGGGGUUUGGAACACAAGGCGAUCCAUCGUCUGCGCUCUUGGAAGUCCUAGACCCAGAACAGAACAGGCAUUUUGUUGAUCAUUAUCUGAACAUACCGUUUGACCUUUCACAAAUCGUUUUUCUGGCGACGGCCAACACAAUUAAGACAAUCCAGCCAGCGCUAGUCGACAGGAUGGAAGUCAUAGAAGUCUCCGGUUACACAACAGAAGAAAAAUGUCAGAUUGUUAAAAGCUACUUACUACCUAAACAAAUUGACAUGCAUGGUUUGAAGCCCGAGUAUUUCCAUUUACCAGACGAGUCCAUUGAAUAUCUCAUCAGAAGAUACACAUUAGAAUCAGGAGUAAGAAAUGCCGAGAGAAACAUCGCCGCAGUAUGCAGGAGCGUGGCACUUACGGUUGCUGAUUCAAACACGCAUGAAGAUAUAUUCCCUAUUGUCAUCGACCAAGAUAAAAUCAUUGAAAUACUAGGGAGGGAAAAAUUCAGCGAGACGAGCUUGGAAGAUUGCCUGGCAGGGGUUAUGUCAGGAGUGGCUGUCGGGCUUUCUUACACCCCUGUUGGAGGUGCGAUCAUCAUAAUCGAGGCGCGUCAGUUCCCAUACGGAAAAGGCGAACUCUUACUGACCGGCCGAGUUGGGAAAGUCCUGUCUGAAUCCGCGAAAAUCGCCUUGAACUGGGUUCGAGCGAAUGCUGCGAUGAGUUCGGUGAAGAUGUGAUGAACGAAAUUGAUGUGCAUGUCCAUAUGCCGGCCGGUGCUGUGGAAAAAGAAGGCCCUUCGGCAGGCGUCACUCUCGCCACGGCGUUGAUUUCACUGUUCGCAGACAUGCCCAUCGUACCUGACCUUGCCAUGACUGGGGAAUUAUCCCUUCAAGGGCAGGUAUUGCCGGUGGGAGGUAUCAAGGAAAAAGUCCUAUCUGCCGUGCGUAACGGGAUCAAAAAGGUUAUCAUGCCCAAAAAAUCA